rnacentral:rRNA from 1 species
AAGUCGAACGAAGCACUUAAAUGGAAUUCUUCGGAAGGAAGCUUGAGUGACUGAGUGGCGGACGGGUGAGUAACGCGUGGGUAACCUGCCUCAUACAGGGGGAUAACAGUUAGAAAUGGCUGCUAAUACCGCAUAAGACCACAGAGCCGCAUGGCUCGGUGGGAAAAACUCCGGUGGUAUGAGAUGGACCCGCGUCUGAUUAGGUAGUUGGUGGGGUAACGGCCUACCAAGCCAACGAUCAGUAGCCGACCUGAGAGGGUGACCGGCCACAUUGGGACUGAGACACGGCCCAAACUCCUACGGGAGGCAGCAGUGGGGAAUAUUGCACAAUGGGGGAAACCCUGAUGCAGCGACGCCGCGUGAGCGAAGAAGUAUUUCGGUAUGUAAAGCUCUAUCAGCAGGGAAGAAAAUGACGGUACCUGACUAAGAAGCACCGGCUAAAUACGUGCCAGCAGCCGCGGUAAUACGUAUGGUGCAAGCGUUAUCCGGAUUUACUGGGUGUAAAGGGAGCGUAGACGGCUGUGUAAGUCUGAAGUGAAAGCCCGGGGCUCAACCCCGGGACUGCUUUGGAAACUAUGCAGCUAGAGUGUCGGAGAGGUAAGUGGAAUUCCCAGUGUAGCGGUGAAAUGCGU